GGAGUUGAUGUCCAUCAGGGUCACGUUCCGAGGCAAGGAGAGUCAAAACCUGGGGCAAGACGACUUCCCUCCGGAGAGUAGACGGGCCUGCUGGGAUACUCUGGGAUGACUGGGACGGUCGCUGGGCGGGGUUUCGGCGUUCCGCGGAACGCCGGGAAGGGGUCACUUCCAGAUCAAGGUUCCGGUUCCGGUGCAGGCGGUGGUGUGUUGCUACGGCAGCGCGGUUGGCAGGCUCCUAGUUCCUGCAUCAGGGGUGGUGGCGGGGCUGGAGCAAACUUGGGUCGCUGUUUCCAGCCGCGUUCCUGGCUUAGGCCCUGACUUCGUUCAUUCGUGCUGUAUCCUCAGUACAUAGAACCGUGCUUGGAAAGUGGCAAGUGCUCACAUUAGUGGAAGGAAUGAUUCUGGAAGAGCGGGGCUCUGGGAAAUCGCUACUGAUCUGCAAUCUUGGAGCCGCACUGGGUUGGUGGUACCCCAGAGCACACCAGACUUGCAGAAAAAGCAGACUCCAGAGGAAGCUGAGGCAUGACUGCUCAAGAGCCAGCAGUUCCAUGUGCAAUUUUCCUCUGAUAGUUCUUGGGUACUGUUGCCACGGUGAUAAUGGCUGUGCCGUGUCAUUAUCUAUCACCCGACAGUAAGAGAAACUUUUGCAGUCAGAUAUUGUUUAACAGAUGGAGUGGUUUCUGUUGGACACUAAGUACUGCUACAGACUACUUUAAAAUAAAAAGUAG